AUUGCAGAUGGCUUCUCAAAACCUUGAACAAAAUUUUAGGAAAAGACAUUCAGCAUCCUCCAGCAAGAAUGAACUCAAGAAAAAGGCACAUAAAUAUCAAGCAUACAAAGUCAGAGAGUAACAAGUGUUAACAGUUAUACUGUCAAACAAAACAGAAGGAUCCCAACCCCAUUAGUCUCAUUCAAAACCUCAUAAGAACAGGCAGGCAGGCAAGGAAUCAUGUAAAAACUGAUUCCAAACAAAACAAGCAUUAAGAAUGACCAUCACAUUCCCAAAAAAUUUGCAGAUAUCAUAUUUAAG
rnacentral:misc_RNA from 1 species